GCAUCUGGGCCCGUUUGUUGCCGCGGCCUCCUGUGCCAUGGAAGCAGUUCCCCUGGCCAAAGAAGGGAUCUGUGAAGACACCAAAGUGACCGUUUUCUGCUGGAACCCACUUGGCAAACCCUUCAGACAGGUUCCAGAGAAUCUCUGACGAACGGAACAGGAGCUGUCCGGAGGGAUCGGGGUCAUUGAGGUCGCUGUACUCAACCUUGAUCCCAGAGCCAAACCCCGGGGGAAAUCACCACCCCCCGAGACCAUCUAACAGCGGACGAUUCAGCUUUCUGCUUACCCAAAUGAACGGUCAACCGAACAACCACAGACAGACAAACUGGCCCUCCCAGAGGGGCAGAAAUCGAAACUCACCCAAC